CCCCUAGAUGUUCUGGGCCGCACGCGCGCUACACUGAACAGUUCAACAAGUCUUAACCUUGGCCGGUAGGUCUGGGUAAUCUUUGAACGCUGUUCGUGAUUGGGAUAGACCUUUGCAAUUAUGGGUCUUCAACGAGGAAUUCCUAGUAAACGCAAGUCAUCAGCUUGCAUUGAUUACGUCCCUGCCCUUUGUACACACCGCCCGUCGCACCUACCGAUUGAAUGGUCCGGUGAAAUCUCGGGACGGCGGCUUGGUCGCUUGCGUCCGACUGCUGAAACUUGAUUAAACCAUAUCAUUUAGAGGAAGGUGAAGUCGUANCA
rnacentral:rRNA from 1 species